rnacentral:rRNA from 1 species
AUGAACGCUGGCGGCGUGCCUCAUACAUGCAAGUCGAGCGAACAGAUGAGGAGCUUGCUCCUCUGACGUUAGCGGCGGACGGGUGAGUAACACGUGGAUAACCUACCUAUAAGACUGGGAUAACUUCGGGAAACCGGAGCUAAUACCGGAUAAUAUAUUGAACCGCAUGGUUCAAUAGUGAAAGACGGUUUUGCUGUCACUUAUAGAUGGAUCCGCGCCGCAUUAGCUAGUUGGUAAGGUAACGGCUUACCAAGGCAACGAUGCGUAGCCGACCUGAGAGGGUGAUCGGCCACACUGGAACUGAGACACGGUCCAGACUCCUACGGGAGGCAGCAGUAGGGAAUCUUCCGCAAUGGGCGAAAGCCUGACGGGGCAACGCCGCGUGAGUGAUGAAGGUCUUCGGAUCGUAAAACUCUGUUAUUAGGGAAGAACAAAUGUGUAAGUAACUAUGCACGUCUUGACGGUACCUAAUCAGAAAGCCACGGCUAACUACGUG